GCGGAAGUGGCGGAAUUGGUAGACACACCAGAUUUAGGUUCUGGCGCCGCAAGGUGUGAGAGUUCAAGUCUCUCCUUCCGCACCA
rnacentral:tRNA from 1 species